GGUCGCGUGGCGCAGUGGGAAGCGCUUUCGCCUUCUAAGCGAAGGGUCGCGGGUUCGAACCCCGUCGUGACUG